GACGAACGCUGGCGGCGUGCUUAACACAUGCAAGUCGAACGGAAAGGCCCUGCUUUUGUGGGGUGCUCGAGUGGCGAACGGGUGAGUAACACGUGAGUAACCUGCCCUUGACUUUGGGAUAACUUCAGGAAACUGGGGCUAAUACCGGAUAGGAGCUCCUGCUGCAUGGUGGGGGUUGGAAAGUUUCGGCGGUUGGGGAUGGACUCGCGGCUUAUCAGCUUGUUGGUGGGGUAGUGGCUUACCAAGGCUUUGACGGGUAGCCGGCCUGAGCGGGUGACCGGCCACGUUGGGACUGAGAUACGGCCCAGACUCCUACGGGAGGCAGCAGUGGGGAAUAUUGCACAAUGGGCGGAAGCCUGAUGCAGCAACGCCGCGUGCGGGAUGACGGCCUUCGGGUUGUAAACCGCUUUCGCCUGUGACGAAGCGUGAGUGACGGUAAUGGGUAAAGAAGCACCGGCUAACUACGUG
rnacentral:rRNA from 1 species